GGGUCGUUAGCUCAGGCGGUUAGAGCGCAUCCCUGAUAAGGAUGAGGUCCCUGGUUCGAGUCCAGGACGACCCA
rnacentral:tRNA from 1 species